GAUGAACGCUGGCGGCGUGCCUAAUACAUGCAAGUCGAGCGAACAGAUAAGGAGCUUGCUCCUUUGACGUUAGCGGCGGACGGGUGAGUAACACGUGGGUAACCUACCUAUAAGACUGGGAUAACUUCGGGAAACCGGAGCUAAUACCGGAUAAUAUUUCGAACCGCAUGGUUCGAUAGUGAAAGAUGGUUUUGCUAUCACUUAUAGAUGGACCCGCGCCGUAUUAGCUAGUUGGUAAGGUAACGGCUUACCAAGGCGACGAUACGUAGCCGACCUGAGAGGGUGAUCGGCCACACUGGAACUGAGACACGGUCCAGACUCCUACGGGAGGCAGCAGUAGGGAAUCUUCCGCAAUGGGCGAAAGCCUGACGGAGUAACGCCGCGUGAGUGAUGAAGGUCUUCGGAUCGUAAAACUCUGUUAUUAGGGAAGAACAUACGUGUAAGUAACUGUGCACGUCUUGACGGUACCUAAUCAGAAAGCCACGGCUAACUACGUG
rnacentral:rRNA from 1 species